rnacentral:tRNA from 1 species
GGAGGGCUGGCCGAAUGGUAAGGCACCGGUCUUGAAAACCGGCGGGUGAAAGCCCUUGCAGGUUCGAGUCCUGCGCCCUCCG